rnacentral:rRNA from 1 species
UACGAAGGGGGCUAGCGUUGCUCGGAAUCACUGGGCGUAAAGGGUGCGUAGGCGGGUUUUUAAGUCAGGGGUGAAAUCCUGGAGCUCAACUCCAGAACUGCCUUUGAUACUGAAGAUCUUGAGUUCGGGAGAGGUGAGUGGAACUGAGUGUAGAGGUGAAAUUCGUAGAUAUUCGCAAGAACACCAGUGGCGAAGGCGGCUCACUGGCCCGAUACUGACGCUGAGGCACGAAAGCGUGGGGAGCAAACAGG